GGAUCAACUUUAUAAAAAGGCUUCUAACCUUUUAAUUAGCGCUAAAUUUUUCGUUAUUGAUUCU
rnacentral:tRNA from 1 species